rnacentral:rRNA from 1 species
CGGAUUUAUUGGGUUUAAAGGGAGCGUAGAUGGAUGUUUAAGUCAGUUGUGAAAGUUUGCGGCUCAACCGUAAAAUUGCAGUUGAUACUGGAUAUCUUGAGUGCAGUUGAGGCAGGCGGAAUUCGUGGUGUAGCGGUGAAAUGCUUAGAUAUCACGAAGAACUCCGAUUGCGAAGGCAGCCUGCUAAGCUGCAACUGACAUUGAGGCUCGAAAGUGUGGGUAUCAAACAGGAUUAGAUACCCUGGUAGUCCACACGGUAAACGAUGAAUACUCGCUGUUUGCGAUAUACAGCAAGCGGCCAAGCGAAAGCGUUAAGUAUUCCACCUGGGGAGUACGCCGGCAACGGUGAAACUCAAAGGAAUUGACGGGGGCCCGCACAAGCGGAGGAACAUGUGGUUUAAUUCGAUGAUACGCGAGGAACCUUACCCGGGCUUAAAUUGCAGAUGAAUUACGGUGAAAGCCGUAAGCCGCAAGGCAUCUGUGAAGGUGCUGCAUGGUUGUCGUCAGCUCGUGCCGUGAGGUGUCGGCUUAAGUGCCAUAACGAGCGCAACCCUUGUUGUCAGUUACUAACAGGUUCUGCUGAGGACUCUGACAAGACUGCCAUCGUAAGAUGUGAGGAAGGUGGGGAUGACGUCAAAUCAGCACGGCCCUUACGUCCGGGGCUACACACGUGUUACAAUGGGGGGUACAGAGGGCCGCUACCACGCGAGUGGAUGCCAAUCCCAAAAACCUCUCUCAGUUCGGACUGGAGUCUGCAACCCGACUCCACGAAGCUGGAUUCGCUAGUAAUCGCGCAUCAGCCACGGCGCGGUGAAUACGUUCCCGGGCCUUGUACACACCGCCCGUCAAGCCAUGGGAGCCGGGGGUACCUGAAGUGCGUAACCGCGAGGAGCGCCCUACGGGUAAA